rnacentral:rRNA from 1 species
GACGAGGGGUCCAAGCGUUGCUCGGAAUCAUUGGGCGUAAAGCGGAUGUAGGUGGCUCUAUAAGUCAGGAGUGAAAGCCCCGGGCUCAACCCGGGAAGUGCUUUUGAAACUGUAGAGCUUGAGUGUAGGAGAGGGCAGUAGAAUUCCUGGUGUAGUGGUGAAAUACGUAGAUAUCAGGAGGAAUACCGGAGGGGAAGCCGGCUGCCUGGCCUAACACUGACACUCAGAUCCGAAAGCGUGGGGAUCAAACAGG